rnacentral:rRNA from 1 species
UAGACCGAUAGCGAACAAGUAGAGUGAUCGAAAGAUGAAAAGCACUUUGGAAAGAGAGUUAAAAAGCACGUGAAAUUGUUGAAAGGGAAGGGAUUGCAACCAGACUUGCUCGCGGUGUUCCGCCGGUCUUCUGACCGGUCUACUCGCCGCGUUGCAGGCCAGCAUCGUCUGGUGCCGCUGGAUAAGACUUGAGGAAUGUAGCUCCCUCGGGAGUGUUAUAGCCUCUUGUGAUGCAGCGAGCGCCGGGCGAGGUCCGCGCUUCGGCUAGGAUGCUGGCGUAAUGGUUGUAAUCCGCCCGUCUUGAAACACGGACCAAGACCGGAU